rnacentral:rRNA from 1 species
GCUUUAUAUACAAUUUAAGUUUGAUUGGUUUAAAUAUAAAGGUUGAAUUUAAUUGUUUUAUUUUGUUGGGGUGAUGUGAGUAUAAUUUUGGUUAACUGCUUAUAAAGAACCCUUUUGUAAGAGAUUAAAGUGAUAGAUGAUCCUUUUUAAAGAUUAAAAGACUAAGUU